UACGGGGGGAGCAAGCGUUGUUCGGAUUUACUGGGCGUAAAGGGCGCGUAGGCGGUCAGCACAAGUCAGUUGUGAAAUCUCCGGGCUUAACUCGGAAAGGUCAACUGAUACUGUGCGACUAGAGUGCGGAAGGGGCAACUGGAAUUCUCGGUGUAGCGGUGAAAUACGUAGAUAUCGAGAGGAACACCUGCGGCGAAGGCGGGUUGCUGGGCCGACACUGACGCUGAGGCGCGAAAGCUAGGGGAGCGAACAGG
rnacentral:rRNA from 1 species